GUGAGGAAUAUUGGUCAAUGGGCGAGAGCCUGAACCAGCCAAGUCGCGUGAAGGAAGACGGCCCUACGGGUUGUAAACUUCUUUUGCAAUGGAAUAAAAAGAGUUACGUGUAAUUCAUUGUAUGUACAUUGCGAAUAAGGAUCGGCUAACUCCGUGCCAGCAGCCGCGGUAAUACGGAGGAUCCGAGCGUUAUCCGGAUUUAUUGGGUUUAAAGGGUGCGUAGGCGGAUUGGAAAGUCAGCGGUGAAAGUUUGCAGCUUAACUGUAAAAUUGCCAUUGAAACUGUCAGUCUUGAGUGCAAAUGAGGUAGGCGGAAUGUGUUGUGUAGCGGUGAAAUGCAUAGAUAUAACACAGAACACCAAUUGCGAAGGCAGCUUACUGGGAUGCAACUGACGCUGAGGCACGAAAGCGUGGGGAUCAAACAGGAUUAGAAACCCUGGUAGUCC
rnacentral:rRNA from 1 species